AGGACGGUGCCAGCCGCCGCGGUAAUACCGGCGCCUCAAGUGGUAGUCGCUUUUAUUGGGCCUAAAACGUCCGUAGCCGGUCUGAUACAUUCGUGGGUAAAUCAACCAGCUCAACUGGUUGAAUUCUGCGAGGACGGCCAAACUUGGGACCGGGAAAGGUGUGGGGUACGCUCAGGGUAAGGGUAAAAUCCUGUCAUCCUGAGCGGACCACCUGUUGCGAAGGCGCCACACUAGAACGGAUCCGACGGUCAGGGACGAAGCCUAGGGGCACGAACCGGAUUAAAUACCCGGGUAGUCCUAGGUGUAAACCCAGUGUACUUGAUGUUGGGGGUGCUCCGAGCACUCUCAGUGUCGAAGCGAAGGUGAU
rnacentral:rRNA from 1 species